GGUCAAGCUAAUAAGGGCUAACGGUGGAUACCUAGGCACACGGAAGCGAAGAAGGACGUAGUUACCGACGAAACGCUUCGGGGAGCGGGAAGCAAGCAUUGAUCCGAAGAUAUCCGAAUGGGGCAACCCUAAACACGACCACCUGAAUACAUAGGGUGGAGCGAGCAAACCUGGUGAACUGAAACAUCUUAGUAGCCAGAGGAAAAGAAAGCAACAGCGAUUCCCCCAGUAGCGGCGAGCGAAAAGGGAACAGCCUAAACCAAGUUCUUCGGAACUUGGGGUCGUGGGACAGUAACAAAAGACUGGGAAAUUUAGACGAAGCGGCUGAAAACCGCACCAGAGAAGGUGAAAGUCCUGUAGUCGAAAAAGGAACCAGCUUAACUGCAUCCCGAGUAGCAUGGGGCACGUGAAAUCCCGUGUGAAUCUGCCUCGACCACGAGGUAAGGCUAAAUAUUCCCGUGUGACCGAUAGAGAAACAGUACCGCGAGGGAAAGGUGAAAAGAACCCCGGAAGGGGAGUGAAAUAGAACAUGAAACCGUUAGCCUACAAGCAAUGGGAGGACGAUUGAACGUCUGACCGUGUGCCUGUUGAAGAAUGAGCCGGCGACUUACAGGUUAUGGCAGGUGAAGGGGGAAGACCCCACAGCCCCAGCGAAAGCGAGUCUGAAUAGGGCGAAAAGUCAUAAUUUGUAGACCCGAACCCGGGUGAUCUAACCAUGGCCAGGAUGAAGCUUGGGUAAAACCAAGUGGAGGUCCGAACCGACUAAUGUUGAAAAAUUAGCGGAUGAGCUGUGGUUAGGGGUGAAAUGCCAAUCGAACUCGGAGCUAGCUGGUUCUCCCCGAAAUGUGUUGAGGCGCAGCGGUAGUGGAAGUUUAGUCGGGGUAAAGCACUGUUUCGCCGCGGGCUGGGAGACCGGUACCAAGGCGAGGCAAACUCUGAAUACGGCUAAAAAAACUACCAGUGAGACGGUGGGGGAUAAGCUUCAUCGUCAAGAGGGAAACAGCCCAGACCACCAGCUAAGGUCCCCAAAUGAUAACUAAGUGAGAAAGGAGGUGGGAGUGCAUUGACAACCAGGAGGUUUGCCUAGAAGCAGCAAUCCUUAAAAGAGUGCGUAAUAGCUCACUGGUCAAGCGCUCCUGCGCCGAAAAUGAACGGGGCUAAGUUAUCUACCGAAGCUGUGGACUACAUUGUAGUGGUAGGGGAGCGUUCUAUAGGGGGUGAAGCAGUAGCGGCAAGCAGCUGUGGACUCUAUAGAAGUGAGAAUGUCGGCUUAAGUAGCGAAAAUGUGGGUGAGAAUCCCACACCCCGAAACCCCAAGGUUUCCUCCGCAAGGCUCGUCCGCGGAGGGUCAGUCAGGACCUAAGGCGAGGCUGAAAAGCGUAGUCGAUGGACAACGGGUUAACAUUCCCGUACCGAUUAAUGAUUGUGCCGGAGAACGGAGAAGGUCAACGUCAGCUGGAUGUUGGUUACCAGUGCAAGCAGUCGAGGCGAUGAGAGGUGGAGAAAACACCAGGAGCUAAGACGCGAGUCCCACCUCCCACGGGAGGGAAGUGGCGCUGAUCAAGCUUCCUAGAAAAGCCCGAACCACGUUAAUCAUUAAUUGCCUGUACCCGAAACCGACACAGGUGGGGAAGUAGAGAAUACUAAGGGGCGCGAGAUAACUCUCUCUAAGGAACUCGGCAAAAUGACCCCGUAACUUCGGGAGAAGGGGUACCCUCGCAAGAGGGUCGCAGUGAAUAGGCCCAGGCGACUGUUUACCAAAAACACAGGUCUCCGCCAAGUCGUAAGACGCAGUAUGGGGGCUGACGCCUGCCCAGUGCCGGAAGGUUAAGGAAGUUGGUCAGGAGUAAUCUGAAGCUGACGACCGAAGCCCCGGUGAACGGCGGCCGUAACUAUAACGGUCCUAAGGUAGCGAAAUUCCUUGUCGGGUAAGUUCCGACCCGCACGAAAGGCGUAACGAUCUGGGCACUGUCUCGGAGAGAGACUCGGCGAAAUAGGAUUGUCUGUGAAGAUACGGACUACCUGCACCUGGACAGAAAGACCCUAUGAAGCUUUACUGUAGCCUGGAAUUGGCUUCGGGCUUCGCUUGCGCAGGAUAGGUGGGAAGCGUUGAAACUCUCCUCGUGGGGAGGGUGGAGCUAACGGUGAGAUACCACUCUGGCGAGGCUAGAAUUCUAACCCUGACCCCUGAUCGGGGCGGGAGACAGUUUCAGGUGGGCAGUUUGACUGGGGCGGUCGCCUCCUAAAAGGUAACGGAGGCGCGCAAAGGUUCCCUCAGUCCCGUUGGAAAUGGGACGAUAGAGUGCAAAAGCAGAAGGGAGCUUGACUGUGAGACCCACAAGUCGAACAGGGACGAAAGUCGGCUUUAGUGAUCCGACGGCACCGCGUGGAAGGGCCGUCGCUCAACGGAUAAAAGUUACUCUAGGGAUAACAGGCUGAUCUCCCCCAAGAGUUCACAUCGACGGGGAGGUUUGGCACCUCGAUGUCGGCUCAUCGCAACCUGGGGCUGAAGUCGGUCCCAAGGGUUGGGCUGUUCGCCCAUUAAAGCGGUACGUGAGCUGGGUUCAGAACGUCGUGAGACAGUUCGGUCCAUAUCCGGUGUAGGCGUAAGAGCAUUGCGAGGAGCCUUCCUUAGUACGAGAGGACCGGGAAGGACGCACCGCUGGUGUACCUGUUAUCGUGCCAACGGUAAACGCAGGGUAGCCAUGUGCGGAGCGGAUAACCGCUGAAAGCAUCUAAGUGGGAAGCCCACCUCCAGAUGAUUGCUCUCAUGGCAUUAAGCCAGUAAGGUCUCGGGUAGACUACCCGUUGAUAGGCUCUAGAUGGAAGCUCGGUAACGAGUGCAGUCGAGGAGUACUAACCGACCGAGGGCUUGACCUC
rnacentral:rRNA from 1 species